GGAAGAUUUCGAGGACGCCAUUUCAAGGUUUUAAAUCUGUCAAUACUAGAUAUUUAAACUGCCUGUUUUGUGAAAGAUAAGGAUACAAACUCUAAAAUGAGUUCUCCAUCUCCUGAGUUAAGCUGUGAUCAACCAAUAAAGAAUCUGACCACUAGAUCCAGUGAUAAAACAGAGACAUUUGAGCCCAGUAUCAGGGGGAGCAAGAGACAGAGAUCAGAGCCUCCAGAACCCAGUGGUGUGUCUGUGAAGAGUAACAGGUCCUUGAUGCAACCCCCUGGAUUCAGUGAUGGAACAGUGUCCUCUGACACUUGGUU